rnacentral:rRNA from 1 species
ACUCAAAUGAAUUGACGGGGACCCGCACAAGCAGCGGAGCAUGUGGUUUAAUUCGAAGCAACGCGAAGAACCUUACCAGGGCUUGACAUCCCGCUGACGUACCUUUAAAAGGGUAUUUCCCUCGGGACAGCGGAGACAGGUGGUGCAUGGUUGUCGUCAGCUCGUGUCGUGAGAUGUUGGGUUAAGUCCCGCAACGAGCGCAACCCUUGUUUUUAGUUGCCAUCAGGUGAUGCUGGGCACUCUAAAGAGACUGCCGGGGAUAACUCGGAGGAAGGUGGGGAUGACGUCAAAUCAUCAUGCCCCUUAUGUUCUGGGCUACACACGUGCUACAAUGGCCGGUACAGAAGGAAGCAAAGCCGCGAGGCGGAGCAAAUCACUAAAACCGGCCCCAGUUCGGAUUGCAGGCUGAAACCCGCCUGCAUGAAGUCGGAGUUGCUAGUAAUCGUGAAUCAGAAUGUCACGGUGAAUACGUUCCCGGGUCUUGUACACACCGCCCGU